UUACACAGCUAGCGUGGCCAAAGCCCGAGCAGCUUCACUGACGUCAAUGAAGCUUCUUCGAAACAGGCGAGCUGUUCGGUACGGACUGUUGUUCCCAGCUCGGCUCCGCAAUCACUUACGACCCUUGGUGUGACACCCACAGGAUGACAACUACAAAAGCAAGCAGAGAAAUGCCAGCCAGGAUAUAAAAGGGCUGGUCGAGCCACAAAAAGAUACCAUUUGACUUCUGUCAAAUGUAUGGAUAUCGGUCCAGGAGCUCAGUGUGGACAUGGAGCCGAGACCGCAGCCUGUUAAAAUCCUCUCACCCGACUGCUGUGUGCUGUAUUCAACAAUGGAAAAAUAAAUCCCAUGUGAUAAUCCAACCAUCGCGGUGUCCAGAGUUGUGUCGUGCUGCUGAAGUGAGUCAAAACACACACAAAAAAGAAAUUAAAAUUCCCUGGAAAGGCUCCGUCUGAUACACAGUGUGACUGCUUGGCCCAUCUAUUCAUAUGACCAUAUCUGAAAAUCAUACUGAACAAAUUAUGUUCCACAUAUUUGAUAAAAUAACUCACUCGGUUACACUGGGGCAUCCCUGGCUUCAAUGUCAUAAACCACGGCUUGAUUGGUCUCUGGGUAAAAUUGAGUCAUGGGGACCUGCACGUAAUGAUUCCUGUCUGACAAAGUCUGUUCUACCCUCAAGUGUAAUUAAGUCAGAUCUAGAGGGGGUCCCAUCUUGCUACCAUGAUCUCGCUGAAGUCUUUAGCAAAGCUAAGGCUAAGUCACUUCCGCCCCACCGCAAGUACGACUGUGCCAUUGACCUUCUCCCGGGGGCUGCGCCCCCCCGAGGCAAGAUGUUCUCUAUUUUUGCACCAGAACGUCUAGCAAUGAACACCUAUAUUCAGGAGUCACUCGCAACUGGUUUGAUUCAUCCUUCAUCUUCGCCCGCAGGGGCGGGGUAUUUCCUCUGUGUUCGAACUGGUAGGAGAAGCCAAGGUUUUUACGGAGGUAGAUUUACGGAACGCGUAUCACCUGGUACACAUACGCCCAGGGGAUGAAUGGAAAACCGCCUUUAAUACACCCACAGGCCACUACGAAUAUCUUGUAAUGCCGUUUGGUCUUACUAACGUUCCUGCUGUGGUCCAAAAUCUUAUAAAUGACGUACUGUGCAAGUACCUUAAUAAAUGUGUCUUUGUUUAUCUCAAUGACAUUCUCAUUUACUCACCUGAUUUGAAAAACUCACACACAACAGGUCCAGACCAUUCUCCAAACACUUCUGCAAAAUGGCCUUUUUGUCAAAGCCGAAAAAUGUGAGUUCCACCGUUCUACAGUAUUGUUCUUGGGAUUUGUCACUUCUGAGGGGGAGAUCCAGAUGGAUCUUGCUAAGGUUGCAGCGGUUCGUGAUUGGGUGGUUCCAAGUAGUUGUAAGGACGUUCAGAGGUUCCUUGGUUUCGCCAACUUCUAUCAUCAGUUUAUCCAUAACUUCAGUACCAUCGCAGCUCCUCUGCAUAAUGCUACCUCCUCGCAACGGUCUUUUGUGUGGACCCCAGAAUGCGAGGUGUUCCAGAACCUAAAGUACUGUUUUACAAUGGCCCCUGUGCUGCUCUUUCCUGACCCCGCCUGGCAGUUCGUGGUCGAAGUUGAUGCGUCCAACACUGGUAUUGAGGCCAUUCUCUCUCAAACAAGGCCCUGCGACAAUAAAUUACAUCCCUGUGCAUGUGCAUUCAUGUCCAAGAGACUUACUGCUGCUGAACAAAAUUACAGCAUCAGAGAUUGCGAACUGCUGGCGGUCAAAGUGGCCUUGGAGGAGUGGCAUCAUUGGUUGGAGGGAGCACAGUUGCCUUUCACUGUUCCGUUCCCGGUAUAGAAAAUCAUUAACCCUAUCUCUGUCCGUCUCCGCCUUCCAAGGUCCAUGAGGGUUCACCCAACAUUUCAUGUCAGCCACCUGAAUGAAGCCUGUACGGUCCAGGCCUUUGUGCCCACCUGCUGAUCCCCCGCCGGCUGCCGGUUCAUGGAUGGGGGGCCCCGUCUUCCACCACUCCUCAGUGCUGACAGUGAGCACUGGGGCCCCUCAGGGCUGUGUGCUCAGCCUCAUGUUGUACACUUUGUACACCCAUGACUGUGCACCAACCCACAGCAGCAACAUCUUUGUAAAAAUUGCGGAUGACACUACUGUGGUUGGGCUGAUUCACAACAAUGAUGAGACGGCCUAUAGAGAGGAGGUCCUGAACCUCACUACUUGGUGCUCCCUAAAUAAUCUGGCACUUAACUCCUCAAAGACAAAAGAAUUGGUGCUAGAUUUCAGGCAGAAGAGGGAGGACCCCCCCCUUCUCAUUCAGGGAGACACUGUAGAGAUGGUCAGUGACUUCAAGUUCCUGGGAACAUACAUUUCUCAGGACCUUACAUGGGGCACCAACAUCAAUG